rnacentral:rRNA from 1 species
CCUGACUGCUAUCGGAUUGAUACUAAGCCAUGCGAGUUUUUGUAGUAAUACAAGGCAGACGGCUCAGUAACACGUAGUCAAUCUAACCUAUGGACGAGGAUAAUCUCGGGAAACUGAGAAUAAUACUCGAUAGAUCAUUAUGCCUGGAACGGUUUAUGGUUCAAAUGAAUUUCGCCAUAGGAUGGGACUGCGGUCUAUCAGCUUGUUGGUGAGGUAAUGGCCCACCAAGGCUAUUACAGGUACGGGCUCUGAGAGGAGAAGCCCGGAGAUGGGUACUGAGACACGGACCCAGGCCCUAUGGGGCGCAGCAGGCGAGAAACCUUUGCAAUGUGCGCAAGCACGACAAGGUUAAUCCGAGUGGUUUCUGCUAAAGGAACCUUUUGUUAGUCCUAGAAACACUAACGAAUAAGGGGUGGGCAAGUUCUGGUGUCAGCCGCCGCGGUAAAACCAGCACCUCAAGUGGUCAGGAUGAUUAUUGGGCCUAAAGCAUCCGUAGCCGGCUCUGUAAGUUUUCGGUUAAAUCUGUACGCUCAACGUACAGGCUGUCGGAAAUACUGCAGGGCUAGGGAGUGGGAGAGGUAGACGGUACUCGGGAGGAAGGGGUAAAAUCCUUUGAUCUCUCGAUGACCACCUGUGGCGAAGGCGGUCUACCAGAACACGUCCGACGGUGAGGGAUGAAAGCUGGGGGAGCAAACCGGAUUAGAUACCCGGGUAGUCCCAGCUGUAAACUAUGCAAACUCAGUGAUGCAUUGGCUUGAUGCUAAUGCAGUGUUGCAGGGAAGCCGUUAAGUUUGCCGCCUGGGAAGUACGUACGCAAGUAUGAAACUUAAAGGAAUUGGCGGGGGAGCACCACAAGGGGUGAAGCCUGCGGUUC